rnacentral:rRNA from 1 species
UACGUAGGGUGCGAGCGUUAAUCGGAAUUACUGGGCGUAAAGCGUGCGCAGGCGGUCUGUUGCGUCCGCUGUGAAAACUCGGGGCUUAACCCCGAGCCUGCAGUGGAUACGGGCAGACUAGAGGUAGGUAGGGGAGAAUGGAAUUCCCGGUGUAGCGGUGAAAUGCGCAGAUAUCGGGAGGAACACCGGUGGCGAAAGCGGCGCACUGGACCAUAACUGACGCUGAGGCGCGAAAGCUAGGGGAGCAAACAGG